rnacentral:rRNA from 1 species
AGGGUUUGAUCAUGGCUCAGAACGUACGCUGGCGGCACGCCUAACACAUGCAAGUCGAACGAAGUAGCAAUACUUAGUGGCAGACGGGUGAGUAACAUGUAGGUAUCUGCCCUUUGGCCUGGAAUAACACGAGGAAACUUGUGCUAAUACUGGAUAAGUCUUUACGGAGAAAGCUUUAUGCACCAUUGGAUGAGCCUGCACUUGAUUAGUUUGUUGGUGGGGUAAUGGCCUACCAAGACUGUGAUCAAUAGCUGAUUUGAGAGGAUGAUCAGCCACAUUGGGACUGAGACACGGCCCAAACUCCUACGGGAGGCAGCAGUGGGGAAUCUUGCACAAUGGAGGAAACUCUGAUGCAGCGAUGCCGCGUGAGUGAAGAAGGCCCUUGGGUUGUAAAGCUCUUUCGUCGGGGAAGAAAAUGACUGUACCCGAAUAAGAAGGUCCGGCUAACUUCGUGCCAGCAGCCGCGGUAAUACGAAGGGACCUAGCGUAGUUCGGAAUUACUGGGCUUAAAGAGUUCGUAGGUGGUUGAAAAAGUUGGUGGUGAAAUCCCAGAGCUUAACUCUGGAACUGCCAUCAAAACUUUUCAGCUAGAGUAUGAUAGAGGAAAGCAGAAUUUCUAGUGUAGAGGUGAAAUUCGUAGAUAUUAGAAAGAAUACCAAUUGCGAAGGCAGCUUUCUGGAUCAUUACUGACACUGAGGAACGAAAGCAUGGGUAGCGAAGAGGAUUAGAUACCCUCGUAGUCCAUGCCGUAAACGAUGUGUGUUAGACGUUGGAAAUUUAUUUUCAGUGUCGCAGCGAAAGCGAUAAACACACCGCCUGGGGAGUACGACCGCAAGGUUAAAACUCAAAUGAAUUGACGGGGACCCGCACAAGUAGUGGAGCAUGUGGUUUAAUUCGAAGAUACGCGCAGAACCUUACCAACACUUGACAUGUUCGUCGCGACUUUAAGAGAUUAAAGUUUUCGGUUCGGCCGGACGAAACACAGGUGCUGCAUGGCUGUCGUCAGCUCGUGUCGUGAGAUGUUGGGUUAAGUCCCGCAACGAGCGCAACCCUCACUUUUAGUUGCCAUCAUUAAGUUGGGCACUCUGAAAGAACUGCCAGUGAUAAGCUGGAGGAAGGUGGGGAUGACGUCAAGUCCUCAUGGCCCUUACGUGUUGGGCUACACACGUGCUACAAUGGUAUCUACAACAGGAAGCAAGACGGCGACGUUAAGCAAAUCCUUAAAAGAUACCUCAGUUCGGAUUGCACUCUGCAACUCGAGUGCAUGAAGCUGGAAUUACUAGUAAUCGUGGAUCAGCGUGCCACGGUGAAUGCGUUCCCGGGUCUUGUACACACCGCCCGUCACACCAUGGGAGUUGGUUCUACCUUAAGGCAAGGUUUCAAACCCUUGACCACGGUAUAGUCAGCGACUGGGGUGAAGUCGUAACAGGUAACCGUA